rnacentral:RNase_P_RNA from 1 species
UGAGUCGGCCGGGCGGCCGCGUGGAUCAUCGCAGAUGAUCUUCGAGGAAAGUCCGGGCUCCUCAGGGCAGGGUGGUUGUCAACGGCAACCCGGCGCGAGCCGCGGGACAGUGCCACAGAGAACAGACCGCCGGGCGUUCAGCACGAACGUCCCGGUAAGGGUGAAACGGUGGUGUAAGAGACCACCAGCGUCCCGGGUGACCGGGACGGCUCGGUAAACCCCACCCGGAGCAAGGUCGAGAGGUCGGACCUUCGGGACCGACUGCGCAGGCGUUCGAGGGCGGCCCGUCCGAUGCCUGCGGGUGGACCGCUGGAGCGCGUCGGCAACGGCGCGCCGAGAUGGAUGGUCGCCGAACGGGACGUCGCAAGGCGCCCGGGAACAGAACCCGGCUUACAGGCCGGCUCAUCCC